AUGUGGGGGUCGGAGACGCCGGCCGGCUCCGGCUCGCCGGACUGCCCUGACCUGCUGCAGCACGUCCAAGCGCUGCGCUCGCCGGCCACCCCGCUUUACCUCAGCUUCUUCGAGGAGGAGUGUCGCACCAUCGCCGCCCGCCUGCGCCUCGCGGCGGCCGCAGAGUCCUUGCCGGGCCUGGGGGAGCUCAGCGCGCUGCAGCCCGAGCUCGCCGGACCCACCACUUCCACUCCGCUGCCCAACGCGAGCCACGGGCGGGUCCCGGACUCGAGCGUGGGUGAUUGCGAGGCCGCUGCUGCCCCUGCCCCUGGCUUGAGGCCGGCCCCAAGGGAGCCCGGGUGCCUCCCGCAGCCGGCGGCCGGCGGUAGCCCCGGCGCCCGCCCCGCUCGCCCGCCCGCCCAGUCCCGGCGGGUGCGGCGCGGUGCCGGACAGCCCUCCGGCGGCGGCCCCGGCACCCCUGCUCGCACCCCUGCUCGCACCCCGGGCCGCGGCCGCUCCAGGCUCUCUCUCCCCCGCACACGGGCCUCGCUGGGGCUGCAGCUCCCCGCGGCCGGCACAGGGCGCGGCGCCUGGGAAACGCGGCUCCUCCGGCCCCCAGGGGCCAGGCUGAAGCUGACGUCGCCUGCCAGGUCCAGGCUUCAACAUGCCGGCGGGGCUUCGCAGCAGGCACAGCCUUCCAGCCUUCCCAAACCCGCCCCCCGGGACAGAGGGAUGAAAAAUAAUUCUGCACCUGCCAGUUGCCUCACGCGAAGCAGAGAAGCACCUGCUGUCAAGGCUGGGAAUCGUAAACAGCCCUCCUCAAGGCUCUCUACAGCAAUUCCUACCGUGGCUUCCCGCUCCUCGCUGCGGCCUCCGGGAAAAGUGCUUUCAUCCAAGCGUUUUUGCCUCAAAGGAUCAACUACACAGGAGCUGGUGUGCAAUACAACGCAAGAGCUGAAGGAAAAUGGUGAGAGCAAAGAAAAGCUGGUUGCAGCAAGGAAUGUCUUGGGAGCAGGUAAAACUGACCAGACAUGGGUGUGUGUGGAGUCCUCUUUGUCCAGUGAGUUGGGCCCUGGCCUGACUUCAGGGUGUGAAGAUGCAGUCCCUGCUGAGCAGUCUGCAGGUGAUCAGCUGUCCCAGGAACUGGAGCGUGUGAAGAAAGAGCUGGAGCAAGUGAAGGGUGAGCUUGCUGACAAGACUGCCCAGUGUGAAGCCUAUCAGCAGACAAUCUUCUCCUUGAAGGCUCAGCUCAGAGCAGCAGGUACCCAGGAUCUGCUUGUCUGGGACAGGGUGGCCCUGCUUGGAGUCCUGCUGUGCCUGUGGUGCUGCCUACCCUGCCCAAGAACACUCUCGGUGAUGGUGCUGCCCAGCUGGGUCCUUGCCUACAGCCGGCAACCCUGGAAGGAUUGGGAAGUGUCUGAGCAGUAAGAGCCAUGAUGCCUCUUGGACUUGGUUGGGUAAGGAGGAAAGGGGCGUUGGGUUUCCUCGAUUCGGAGAAGCGGGGGCAGAGCUAGCGUCAUUGUCGGUUAGAAGGAUGAGCUCAUAUUUCCAUCACCGCAUGUCCCCCGGGGUUUGACCCCCCCGGAGGACGCAGGGGAGUUAGCUGCCUAGCGCUGCAGCCUGCUCUACUCCGCUCUCCUAGCGACUAAUAAGCCUUUUGCCUCAAAUAGGGGCCCCGGAGCAGGGUAUUGACAAUAAUGCCGACGAGGGGCUGGCUUAGCUCUCUUUAAGCUGCCACUUCGAGUGAGCGCUCACGACACGCAAGCACUGGAUUGCAUCAGGCGCGGGGGCGGGUCCCAGCCUCAGGGCUGGAGGGGAUGGCGCUCCCCGCUGCCUCUCUCGUGGCCGCCGAGCAGCUCUCCCAAGACUGGCAUUUCCCAUCACUUGGGGCUGCCUGUUGCUCCCAGAACUCAGGGGGCUGUAGCGGAGCAUACGGAGGUCGGGGUAGAGUCACCCCAGAAGGCGCGGGCUGAGCUCCGCUCGCAGCCCCUGCGGCAGGGGACAAGGCACAUCUUGGCGGGGGGGUGCCCUCAGCCGCCCCCUCCCUGGCCUUUUCCGGUGACCAAGAUCCUUUGCCAUGGUAGCACCCGCAGCAGCAACACUUCUCACCUGCAAAUGAAAGUGAAUUUACAUCUCUUAGCGCGCGCGGGAAUCUGCGCGGGUGUGGCUAGGGGGAGGCGGUGCUGCCGCCCCUGCUCUUUUUCCCAGCCUGGGGCUGCUAAAUAGCGUGUUCCCGCCUGCCAUUUGUAUAGUCCAUCGUGAGCAAAACUCGUCCCCUUCUAUGCUUUCGGCCGCGGCGGGGAGCGGAACUGAGUGCGGCUAAAGGGGAUCGCAUUGGUACGAGCCGAACCUCUGGUGAGUAGUGGCGGGCGCUGCCGCCGGACCGGGAAGGGCUUGGCGGAGCCGGUGCCGCUGUUGCAUCAGCCACCGCCGGCCGCACGUGGUCGAUUCUGAUCCGCGCUCGGAUUCUGCCUUACCCGGGGUAUCGCCGGGCUCCGGGACGGGACGGAGCCUGACUGGCACUCCUUGGGACCCGAGAUGCUCCCGAGGGGGCUGAGGCCGAGGUCCCGAGCUAACAGCUUCCCACAUCGCGGCGGGAUGCGAUGGCUGCUGGGUGGAGGGAGGAUGCCCGACACGUUGCUUCUCUACCCAUGCGGAUCUCGAGUCGGGUGCUGGAAAUACUUGGAACAAUUGAGCAGCGUUGGGGAAGGUAGCUAAAGUUUUCCAGGUAGUGGCUGAGGAGGGUAGUAAUGCUGGGGCACUUGUUGCACUUGGGUUCAAGGCUGAAUGUGACAUGUGCCGGCUCGGGAGGAGGUUUAUCAAGAAGCAGGAUAGUUUGCUGGUUAUGGGGAAACAACCGAGUUGGUGGCUGCCACUGUGAUCCUGAUAAUCCUUCUCUAUGGAAAAGGGCCACGAAGUUAUCCUUUUCUUCUUAGGCUGAUCCCAGUGAAGGGAGAAGAUGCGGGUGGGUGGGCUGAGGUGCCAGCCGUGGCCAUUGGGCAUUGGGAAAUACUUUCCUUGCAGCUUUUCUGUGCUGGAUGCCUGCUUCACAGGUUACUCAUCUUCAGAGCUUUUUGGGGAUAGAUGACUGCUGUGAGUAAGAGGAGUGGGGAUGUCAUACAUUCACAGUGAUUACAGCCUGCAGACUCCUCAGCAAGCACUGAACAGCAGGGCCUGGGCCGCCCCUCUGAGCUGUGUUACCUUCUCUGGCUGGAAGUAAAAAAGGGCUUGGCUUGGGCACACUCAGUUUUAUAUGAGUAUUACCAAAAGUCGCCUUCCAUUUUCUCAGUGGUGAAACUACAUGCCAGUCCAAGAACUGCCCCCUGAUAGGUCCCUGUCCUUUCCAAAGAAUUCUAAGGUCUUAGCAGAGCAAUAUUCUAUUAACCAAAAAAACCAAACUGUGUUAACCUAUGACACCCUUGCAGUGCCAGUCCUGCCCGAAGGACACUGAGCUUC
ensembl:lncRNA